rnacentral:lncRNA from 1 species
AUGCGGAAGAAAAAGACUUCAGGACUGGAAGCGCUCUUACCCCAAGAUCGCAUCGGUGCUCUGAGAGGUGGAGCCUCACAGUCAGACGGCUACAGGCAGAACGUGGGCGAGCCCUGGGACCUUAAGCUUUGUGGAAGGUUGAAAGGAGGAGCAGAGGGAGAGCUUUGAGGAUGAAGACGGAAUCUAUUUCAGUCUGAAAUUUGUGUUUCAUGGCUGCAGUUGGACAUUCGAAUCUCUG